GACGGGGUAUGUACUUAAAUCGUACGGUAUUGUAAUUGUAAUAGCGGUAUCGAUUUUGAAGGAUUAACAGAUUUUUCUUUCAAAUUUGUACAUAUUUAACGUUAAAACAGGAUAGAAACUAAAAAUGGAUAUAAAAAUACAGUAAAUAUGAUAACAACUUGAGACCUAAACAACUGCAUAUCUGGUAACUCCGAUAACCGACUCUCUGCGUAGACACACCCAUACAGUGUUACAUCGGUCACGUGAUCACUACGUGAUCUCAUUCAACCACCGAAUCUCACGAAGCAAGACCAAGAAAGAUGGGAAUUGUAGACUCUUUCAGUCGUCUUCGAUCUUUUCUCAUUUACUGGUACUUCCAGUACGAACUAAAUACCGCAUUGUACAUGCUCGAACCUGCAGAGAAGACUAUAGUCAAUACGAUAGCUGUUGCCAUUGUUGGGCUAAUUUUGUUUGCUGCUUUGACCUAUUUACCAGGUCACCUGAUCAUGAUGAUCCACUUUCUACAGGGAACACAUGAAAGCACGAGUUCCUGAUAUUCUACAUGUAGGGGGAUAUGGCAGUGUACUCAAUAUAGAAAUCAUGUACGUGAAAUUGUGAAAAAACGUGAACUAUGAAUUCGAACAUUGGUUUAAAAAUAUGACCAUGAUGGCUGGUGAAAAAAUGAACAAAAUUCAUGUUAUUAACAUAUGACAAAUGUUUGUAAUUAAUUUAUAUGUUUGCUCUGACUUUCUGUGUCAUUCAACCAUAUAUGUGAUAAUCCUUCCAAAAAAGUUAAUUCAACAAAAGUUCGUAACAAAAAUCGGCAACAUGUAUUGAACCGAUCAGAUCAGGUGGUAUAUAAAAUAUUAAAAUGCCACCACUUUCCGAUCAGAUACGGAAAGUAACGAAGAUUGUCGAUUUUUUACGAGUUUUGUCGGAUUACAUUAUAAUGUACGUUGUUAACCAGCAAGUUAUGUUGUCAUUCAUGUGAUAAAUAUGUUUGCAUAUCUAAGUCUUUGAAUUGUGUUGAGCUUAAAUGCUUCCAUUAAUAAAUUGAGAACAUUUGUUUAA